rnacentral:tRNA from 2 species
CUUUCGGUAACUCAAUGGAUUAGAGUGACGCUCUUCUAAAGCGUAAGUUCUAAGUUCGAAUCUUAGUCGAAAGA